rnacentral:rRNA from 1 species
CAAUAGCGUAUAUUAAAGUUGUUGCAGUUAAAAAGCUCGUAGUUGGAUUUCUGAUCGAGACAUCAGGUCGGGUCCGAGAGGAUCAUGUACUUUGAUUUUGUUUUGAUCAUCCUUGGGGAGAGCAUUUCUGGCAUUCAGUUGUCGGGAUUGGGAUCCUCAUCGUUUACUGUGAAAAAAUUAGAGUGUUCAAAGCAGGCCUCGGCCUCUGAAUACAUUAGCAUGGAAUAAUAAGAUAGGACUUUGGUGGUCUAUUUUGUUGGUUUGCACGCCAAAGUAAUGAUUAAUAGGGAUAGUUGGGGGUAUUCGCAUUCAAUUGUCAGAGGUGAAAUUCUUGGAUUUAUGGAAGACGAACUACUGCGAAAGCAUUUACCAAGGAUGUUUUCAUUAA